UCAGCUCUCUUUGCCUUUUGGCUUAGAUCAGUUGAAGUGGCUGUUCUUUUUAGUUUAAUCUCUAAAACGCCCUUACGGGGGCAUUUUUCUUGAUUAAUCUUGUUUUUGGAAAUGGGCUGGCGGCCGCUGAGCUCCGCUCAUGUCGCUGGUCACAGUGUCGCCUCUAUUGCACUGUCUGGGGCUGAUGCGAACCCGC
rnacentral:snRNA from 1 species